rnacentral:lncRNA from 1 species
UCGUUAAUCAUACCUGUAAAGGAACACGACCCAUCUUAACAAUAUUUUAACAGUCCCAUCACAUUCUUCACCUCUCAUUCCAUGCCCUGUGUGUUUUGUACGUGGUGGGUACCACAGCGGAGGGCUGUAAGACGCUGCAGGCAAAGUUUCGCACUUGCCACACCCUGGAACCCAGCAAUUACCCUGAAUUCCGCGACUGGAUCCGAGACACGUACUCGAUACUGGCCAUCAUCAACUACCCGUUCCCCGCAAGCUUCCUCGGACCCAUACCAGCUCAUCCUGUCAAGGCGACUUGCAAUAUCUUGCGCAGCGGGGCUAAAACUGAAGAAAGCACGGUGGAUGCAGUCGCCAAAGUGAUGAACAUGAUGUACAACGGCACCGGGAAAAGCCAGUGCACCAACGUUUACCUCAUUGCAAAUAUGCAUGCCUACCAGUUCCAGUGACGGCGACAUGGAUCCAUGGGUUGUGCACAGCUUGAAAAAGGCUCCCACGAGGGAAACCAAGUACCUACUCAUCAAGGGCGCCGCUCAUCACGUGGACCUACAAUUCUCGCACCGCGAUGAGCUUCGAUCCUACAGGAAUGCCAGGGAGGCCGAAAGACAGGCUAUCGCCGGUUGGAUAAACGCGUGAUG